UAUAUUUCUCCAUAAACGGAUAUAUAUGGAUGAAAAGAUCGCAGUUUUUUGUCUUUCCAUCCAUAUAUAUCCAUUUGUGGAGAAAUAUA